GACGAACGCUGGCGGCGUGCCUAAUACAUGCAAGUCGAACGAACCGCGACUACGUGCUUGCACUUGGUCAAGGUGAGUGGCGAACGGGUGAGUAACACGUGGGUAACCUACCUCAUAGUGGGGAUAACAGUCGGAAACGACUGCUAAUACCGCAUAGGACAUAGGAUCACAUGAUCCAGUGAGGAAAGGUGGCGCACACUAUCGCUAAGAGAUGGACCCGCGGUGCAUUAGCUAGUUGGUAGGGUAAAGGCCUACCAAGGCGAUGAUGCAUAGCCGACCUGAGAGGGUGAUCGGCCACAUUGGAACUGAGACACGGCCCAAACUCCUACGGGAGGCAGCAGUAGGGAAUCUUCCGCAAUGGACGCAAGUCUGACGGAGCAACGCCGCGUGAGUGAAGAAGGUCUUCGGAUCGUAAAGCUCUGUUGUUAGAGAAGAACAGCGCAUAGAGUAACUGUUAUGCGUGUGACGGUAUCUAACCAGAAAGCCACGGCUAACUACGUG
rnacentral:rRNA from 1 species